AUACAAACUGCAAUGGUGGCUGCUCAUAAACCUGGAGAGAAAAACAGAAGCAGAAAUUACGCUUUAAAUCAGAGCUUAUGGUGGAUUUAAAAGUGAUUUGGAUUUGAAGAACAGAAGAGCAUUUUUCACAAAGAAAUCAUUAUCGUUCAGAAGUGACGAAGUUCUACACAAUGAACUCAGUGACCAUGAUGUGGAUAUGAGACUGUCGGAAGCCCGCCCUGUGUGUGGCUGGAUUUCGUUUUUGUGCUCUUUCCUGCCUGACCAGAAGGGGGCCCCAGUGUUCUGUCUAAUUACAGCAGUGCAGCCAAAUGGCUUACAGCAAGACCAACUCAAUAAUCAAUUCUUGUGCACACAGUGUUAGCAGUUAACAGUUUUAAAAUAUACAAUCUUCUACAGAAACCAAGCCAUUAAAGGUCAUUUAUUCCAGUAUAUUAUGUAUUAACAAUUGGGUUGUUUGUUUUUAUAUUAAUCUGUAUAUUGCAUAUCUGUCUACAUGGUUUGUUAUUAAUAAUUAAUAGCACUAAUAACAUCAGUAAAUCUAGGACACACAGAAGGAGUUCAGCUUGAGUUAAUAUUGAUUUGUAAUAGCUGUAACAUGGAUUUAAUAUGCACUGCUUCAUUCUGUAACCACAAUCAAGUGUCAUGCUGUGUUCUUGUGGUAUAUACUGUAAGUAGUAACACCUAUGGUUUCUGUGUGUGAUGUUGUUUUUGAUUAAUGUCGGAAUUUGACAAUAAUACAAAUUAAUAAAACAUUAAAAAAUC